UCUCCUUUCUCCUCUCCACUCUCCAUCGCGUUUUUUUUUUUCUGGGGUCUUCUUUGUCCGGCCAUAUCUUCCUCCACAGGCCUCCAAUCGACUUGAUUCCAAAAGCAAUUUUUCUCACCUUGACGUCGUCUAUAACUUCUCAGAAGACAUCGGAGUGAAAAUCGAACUGUGGAGGGCGCUGUAAGGCCGAGAAGCUGCACAGCUCGAGCUGGAAAUCGCCUCCCUUCACCGGCUGAUAUUUUCCUUUUCCGGCCACCCCCAGCGAUAAACCUUAGACUAUUGGAAGCGCCUUGGGAUGUAGAUGAUGCUCCCGGAAGCUUUUGCUGAGAUUUGAAGCAUGGAGGAAGAAUCGACGGUUUGCAGUUUGAGGUUACUAUUCAUGAUUCGGGUUCAACCUUCCCCUUAAUUGUUGAGGGCGACGUACCGAGCUCUUGCUCGACGAAGGAACUCGUACGCGUGAUCGUCGGAAUAGUACUGCCCUUCGGUUUCAAAUGCCCAGUUUGCAGGCUAGGUUAAUUGAGGUCGGGCGUACAUGGAGUCGAGGCAUAGCCAACAGCAUUGCUUCCGCGUACUCAAUUCAAAUUAUGUUUUCGUUUUUACCUAGUGGGUUAGUAUCGCUCUGAUAAUCUGUGGGAUCAAUAUUGUAUUGGGGUUGAGACAACUAUAUGUGAAAUUGGAGUUGUGAUUUGGAGAGCAGGUGGCUCCAGGAGAAUAAGGAUGGAUGAUUUAGAAGUGUAAAUGUUUUCCUACAGGUUUUUGGGUAGCCUACUUUUAGGGGAAGUUCUGCCAAAUUUUUGGUAGAAUUUCUUCUAAAGUGGGCCCUGCAGGGCCACUUCGGGCUUCAGGUUGAAAUCCGGGGCGGGUCCUGUCAUAUUAUGCUUGAAAUUGGUUUGUGGUUACGAUGGAUAUCAAUGAAGAUUUAGGUACAAAACAUCA